AGUGAACGCUGGCGGUAGGCCUAACACAUGCGAGUCGAACGGCAGCACAGUAAGAGCUUGCUCUUACGGGUGGCGAGUGGCGGACGGGUGAGGAAUACAUCGGAAUCUACUUUUUCGUAGGGGAUAACGUAGGGAAACUUACGCUAAUACCGCAUACGACCUACGGGUGAAAGCAGGGGAUCUUCGGACCUUGCGCGAUUGAAUGAGCCGAUGUCGGAUUAGCUAGUUGGCGGGGUAAAGGCCCACCAAGGCGACGAUCCGUAGCUGGUCUGAGAGGAUGAUCAGCCACACUGGAACUGAGACACGGUCCAGACUCCUACGGGAGGCAGCAGUGGGGAAUAUUGGACAAUGGGCGCAAGCCUGAUCCAGCCAUACCGCGUGGGUGAAGAAGGCCUUCGGGUUGUAAAGCCCUUUUGUUGGGAAAGAAAAGCAGCAGGUUAAUACCCCGCUGUUCUGACGGUACCCAAAGAAUAAGCACCGGCUAACUUCGUG
rnacentral:rRNA from 1 species